rnacentral:ncRNA from 1 species
CUCUCAGCCUGGAAGUGGCGAGAGUCAGAAACGCUCCGGCGCCAUAGGAUGUGGCUGCGGCCGAUUAGGUAGACGGUGGGGUAACGGCCCACCGUGCCCAUAAUCGGUACGGGUUGUGAGAGCAAGAGCCCGGAGACGGUAUCUGAGACAAGAUACCGGGCCCUACGGGGCGCAGCAGGCGCGAAACCUUUACACUGCACGAAAGUGCGAUAAGGGGACUCCAAGUGCGAGGGCAUAUAGUCCUCGCUUUUCACCACCGUAAGGAGGUGGUAGAAUAAGUGCUGGGCAAG